rnacentral:rRNA from 1 species
CGAAGGAUGCAAGCGUUAUCCGGAUUCAUUGGGUUUAAAGGGAGCGUAGGUGGACUGGUAAGUCAGUGGUGAAAUCUUCGAGCUUAACUCGGAAAUUGCCAUCGAUACUGUUGGUCUUGAGUACAGUUGCUGUGGGCGGAAUAUGACAUGUAGUGGUGAAAUACAUAGAGAUGUCAUAGAACACCGAUUGCGAAGGCAGCUCACAAAGCUGUAACUGACACUGAGGCUCGAAAGUGCGGGGAUCAAACAGGGUUAGAUACCCUGGUAGUCCGCACUGUAAACGAUGAUUACUCGCUGCUAGAUGGCAACAUUUAGUGGCUUAGCGAAAGCGAUAAGUAAUCCACCUGGGGAGUACGCCGGCAACGGUG